rnacentral:rRNA from 1 species
AUUGAACGCUGGCGGCAGGCCUAACACAUGCAAGUCGAGCGGAUGAAGGGAGCUUGCUCCUGGAUUCAGCGGCGGACGGGUGAGUAAUGCCUAGGAAUCUGCCUGGUAGUGGGGGAUAACGUCCGGAAACGGGCGCUAAUACCGCAUACGUCUUGAGGGAGAAAGUGGGGGAUCUUCGGACCUCACGCUAUCAGAUGAGCCUAGGUCGGAUUAGCUAGUUGGUGGGGUAAAGGCCUACCAAGGCGACGAUCCGUAACUGGUCUGAGAGGAUGAUCAGUCACACUGGAACUGAGACACGGUCCAGACUCAUACGGGAGGCAGCAGUGGGGAAUAUUGGACAAUGGGCGAAAGCCUGAUCCAGCCAUGCCGCGUGUGUGAAGAAGGUCUUCGGAUUGUAAAGCACUUUAAGUUGGGAGGAAGGGCAGUAAGUUAAUACCUUGCUGUUUUGACGUUACCAACAGAAUAAGCACCGGCUAACUUCGUG